UACGUAGGGGGCUAGCGUUGUCCGGAAUCAUUGGGCGUAAAGAGCUCGUAGGCGGUUUGGUAAGUCUGGUGUGAAAUCUCCACGCUCAACGUGGAGGGGCCACCCGAUACUGCCAUGACUGGAGUCCGGUAGAGGAGUGUGGAAUUCCGGUGUAGCGGUGAAAUGCGCAGAUAUCAGGAGGAACACCGGUGGCGAAGGCGGGUCUCUGGGCCGAUACUGACGCUGAGGAGCGAAAGCGUGGGGAGCAAACAGG
rnacentral:rRNA from 1 species